rnacentral:rRNA from 1 species
AUUGAACGCUGGCGGCAUGCCUUACACAUGCAAGUCGAACGGCAGCACGGGGCAACCUGGUGGCGAGUGGCGAACGGGUGAGUAAUGCAUCGGAACGUACCUUUCAGUGGGGGAUAACGUAGCGAAAGUUACGCUAAUACCGCAUAUUCUGUGAGCAGGAAAGCAGGGGAUCGCAAGACCUUGCGCUGAUUGAGCGGCCGAUGUCAGAUUAGCUAGUUGGUGAGGUAAAGGCUCACCAAGGCGACGAUCUGUAGCGGGUCUGAGAGGAUGAUCCGCAACACUGGACCUGGGACACGGUCCAGACUCCUACGGGAGGCAGCAGUGGGGAAUUUUGGACAAUGGGGGCAACCCUGAUCCAGCCAUGCCGCGUGAGUGAAGAAGGCCUUCGGGUUGUAAAGCUCUUUCGGCCGGGAAGAAAUCGCACGGGCUAAUACCCUGUGUGGAUGACGGUACCGGAAUAAGAAGCACCGGCUAACUACGUGCCAGCCGCCGCCGUAAUAC